AUGAACGCUAGCGGCAGGCCCAACACAUGCAAGUCGAGGGGGAAGUUACUUUCGGGUGACUGAGACCGGCGUACGGGUGCGUAACGCGUAUACAAUCUGCCUUUCACUGGGGGAUAGCCCGAAGAAAUUUGGAUUAAUACCCCAUAGUAUAUAGGGACGGCAUCGUUUUUAUAUUAAAGCUUAGGUGGUGAAAGAUGAGUAUGCGUUCUAUUAGCUAGUUGGAGAGGUAACGGCUCCCCAAGGCGAUGAUAGAUAGGGGUUCUGAGAGGGAUGUCCCCCACACUGGUACUGAGAUACGGACCAGACUCCUACGGGAGGCAGCAGUGAGGAAUAUUGGACAAUGGUCGGAAGACUGAUCCAGCCAUGCCGCGUGCAGGAUGAAGGUCUUAUGGAUUGUAAACUGCUUUUGUAAGGGAAGAAUAAGGGCUACGCGUAGUUUGAUGACGGUACCUUACGAAUAAGCAUCGGCUAACUCCGUG
rnacentral:rRNA from 1 species